GAUGAACGCUGGCGGCGUGCCUAAUACAUGCAAGUCGAGCGAACGGACGAGAAGCUUGCUUCUCUGAUGUUAGCGGCGGACGGGGGAGUAACACGUGGAUAACCUACCUAUAAGACUGGGAUAACUUCGGGAAACCGGAGCUAAUACCGGAUAAUAUUUUGAACCGCAUGGUUCAAAAGUGAAAGACGGUCUUGCUGUCACUUAUAGAUGGAUCCGCGCUGCAUUAGCUAGUUGGUAAGGUAACGGCUUACCAAGGCAACGAUGCAUAGCCGACCUGAGAGGGUGAUCGGCCACACUGGAACUGAGACACGGUCCAGACUCCUACGGGAGGCAGCAGUCGGGAAUCUUCCGCAAUGGGCGAAAGCCUGACGGAGCAACGCCGCGUGAGUGAUGAAGGUCUUCGGAUCGUAAAACUCUGUUAUUAGGGAAGAACAUAUGUGUAAGUAACUGUGCACAUCUUGACGGUACCUAAUCAGAAAGCCACGGCUAACUACGUG
rnacentral:rRNA from 1 species